CUUUAUUUUUUUCAGUUUAAAGAAUUAUUAUUAACUGUUCAGCCCUUUUACAAUCAAUAAACAAACUUCAUUAUAAAACUUGUAUAAUUUUGUAGCUUUUAUUGGUCUUUCCGACUCUAAGAGGUCUUAUUUCUUGGGCACCUACGUGGUACCUUGUACAGGGCUUCAUAAAGUCUUCUGUUUUGUUGUUUGAACAAAUGCUUUGAAAGAAAAAGAAAAAAAAAACCUUUUUGUAUGUCAGGGAUUGGAAGCUAGCAGGGGUGGGGGAAUAGGAGAUAAGACUAACAUCCGUUUUAGGGCUUUGCGGUUUCGCCAGAGGAGGGGUAAAAUUGAGCCCUUUUAUAGUCGAGUACAUCCUGCACCAUUGGCUGUCUCGUAGCCCAAAAGAAGGUGAACUGAAGUUCAGUUUCCAAGGGGUACUUCAUUGUAUCGGCUACUCUGAAAUGUUUCCAUGCCUAGUACUCAGGACAGGGAGCAAUGGACUUUGCAUUGUCUUGCUCGCCAGCAAGCAAGUGGAUCGAGUUGGUGUAAUAUAACCUGUCCCAUCCAGGCAGAUAAGUGAUUCACUCCUAAUUCCCAGUUCAAACCCUUGUGGUCCGCCCUUCGUUCAUCUUCCUCCACUUUCCUCCUCUUCCUCAGACUCUCCCAAGGAGCUCCGUCCUAUGAGGCAUGAUGUGUGGAAUUCUUUACCACUCUACGGAGUGAUUAAUAUCAGCCGUGUUCUCUGCUUUCCGUGAACCUGCAAAAACAAGAGGAAAAUGGAGACAGAAAGACUGGAUAAGCUGUUCAAGAUCCCCUGGUUUAGAAGUAUGAGUGUUGCCUCAAACCCAAGUCUUCCGGCCCCACACUCCUUGGUCUUACCUCUCUACCACGCGCCUACUCAGAACGACAACUCAAAACAGAGGAAAUAAGCAAUGUGUCAGUCCUGUUUCACAGAAGCCACCAAAUAACAGCAGGCUUUUACAACUCCAGAAAGGCUGGGAAUCAGACUCCCGCUGCACAUGUGUCCUUCUGUUCGCUAUUUCUAUUUCCAAGUCUUGCGCUUCUUCCAAAGUGUGUAAAGUCACUGGAAGUGCGUUGAAGAGAUGCAAACCAGGAAGUGUUCACGUGAUAAAACAGGCUCAGAGACAACUCUCUGGCAAGGGGAAACCAAGAGCGAGAAAACUGACCACCAGAGGAAGGUAAGUGGAAACAUGGAAGGGAUAAUUCAGCCUGCUUUCCUGAGUGAUUAAGGCAGAAAUAAGCCAGGUACUCAUCUACGUCGGCUCAUUGCUUUGUCUGAGCUUCUCUUUUCUAUUAUAUAUACUUUCAAAGGGCUCUUGAUAAUUCAAGGGAUAAACAAAACAAAACAAAACAAAAACAAGCAAAGGAACGAUUGUUUCCGUUUCUUUUUACCCAGAGAUUCCCAGCCAUAACAACUCCAAUCACCUUGACUUUGGCUUUCCAGAUUGCUGCAGACAAUUCAAGUUUAAAAACUUCUAGCUGGACUAUUUCCAUUCAUACCGUAUCUCUCAGUUUGCCCGUAGAAUUUGGUACAACUUACGACUUUAGAAUUACUGUAUAAUGCUCAGAGGUGUGAAACACCAUUUCGAGUAAUGCCUUUCUUCAGUUAAUAUAGAUAAAUAUUGAUGGCAGGCAGCAGUAAAACAAGUCAUUAAAUUCUUCAGUGCAAGUGUGUCCCACACAUUGCUGGAAGCUACAGAAAUCGCACCAGGCUCUGAGAAAACCGCUGCAUCUGAUUAGAGAGUGCUCACAUACACCCCUGGCUUGCUCCUUCCAAACUGGAAAACAAGGGAGCGCGGGUGAGGCAGGAGAGAGCGCGGGGUGGGGUUGGACUUCCACUGCAGGUCUAUUCUGUCCACCCUUUCUUCUUGCUACCACCCUAAGGAAUUCCUGGGUGAGCCAGAAACCUUUGAAAAAUGGCAAUCGGUGGCAAAUGGGAGCUCUGGUGCCCUGAAAACAAAGCAACUUUAAACCUAAACCAGUAACCCUAUAAAAGCAGCUAAAGAUUUGGAGGGGCAGUACCCCCUCUCCUCCACUGCUGUUUCAAUUAUUUGACUUCAGAGUCUUUGUGGCGAUGCGGAACUUGGCCUGGGUCACUUGGAUGUGUGGGGGUGGGCGGCUGGCUUCGGGGCCCAGAUAACCCGUCUGUUGCUUGAUUCCCUGGGAUGAAAAAUGAAGGAACUGCUUCCUCAUUUUGUAACGCCACCCUUAAGGAUUGCAGCCCGGUAUAGAUUUUGAAGCGCCACGGUGUGGGGUAUCCUUUCUUCAAGGUGUUUUUAAUGGGCUCCGGGUUGUCAAAGACACCGCUCUGAUAAUGAGGCUGAGCCCCGUGUGAGGAGAGAGCUCUGUAAUGAGGGAGGAGGACAAUUUGUUACAGUUAUGUGGUUACUUGGCCAUAAUAUCUUUUUGAGGUUUAUUAAAUCAUAUAAAAUUUCAAUUUACACUGUAAUAUUCUAUAAAAGAUGGAGCACACAGAAGUAAUAAGUAUGACAACAUUUCUUUCAUUUAUGAAUCGUAUUGUUGAUUGUGUUAACACUGCCGCAUCCAGCAGCAGGAUUAUUUAUGUUGGGACAGUAAUUUUCUAUCUCCAAUUUAAUUGUGUAAAAGUUAAUUACAAACUAGAAUAAAAUGAAUGCAGUUAUGGAAGGCAGGGAAAUGCUGAGAUAGGGUGUUAUUGGGGGAAAAUAUUUACUCAGGCUCUUCCUCGUGGAGAUAGUUGUUAGGGGAACCCAGGGGCUAAGGUGGCUUUUGUUGCAUGAAGAGAGGCCCUUGGUUUUAUCUACUAGGAAAUGAACUGUUCGGUAGCUUCCUAUGUUCCCUAUGUUCUCGGUGUUCCCUGUGUUCUCAGUGACCAUUCUAGAAGCCCCUUCCUUUCCCAGUGCAGCGGCUGGGACCCAGACAGGUUACAAAACCUGCCCCAGUCACCCUGCAAGGUCGGGACAGAGUGAAGACUAGAAUUCAGGUCUCAUGAUACCAGGUCAGAUGACUUGCACUUAAAUGUGGGUGUAUAUUCGUUUCUGCCUUAAAGAGUCAGGGAGGGGGUUUAGAAGAGGCAGAUAUUUUCUCCAAAUUUCACCACAAGGCGAUCUGUGCCAGGGGAGAAGGCAAAUUGCAAUGUAAGUAUUCUCCAGUCGGGGACGCUCGCUUUCCCUCUCCCGUUGAACUCUUUUUCCACGUUGCCAUUGGUAACAACCAAAUUCCUCCGGGAGACUUCCUACCAAAGCAGAAAAGCCAGGUACAACCCUGCAAGGGUGGCUCCAGCCAGCCCUGACCCCCAAGAGUGAGAGGAGCACAGGGAAAGAGACUGGAAGCAAAAGUGAGAGAAGCCUCAGGCCUCGGCCUAGGAAACCCCGGGCCUUCAUUGACUUCCCCUGUCACUUCUCCACAUGCGCUGUCCCCUGCUCCCCUGGCCUUGCCCAAGAGCCUUUGUGCCUCUCGCUGAGAAGGCGGGUGAGCUCAAUGACACCCACUGAUUUCCCGCCACAUUCGCUCCCCUUUCUCCAGACAGAUGAUCUCUUCCCCUUCCCGUCCUCACCACCGCACUUGAACCAUUUCGGGGCCCGUUGAAAUAUCAAGAUUGACUUGCUAGGUGAAAGACUUUUAUAUUUAGUUUUUAAUAGAGCAAAAGUGACUCUAAAUUUGUUAAUAUUCUUUAGGUUACAUAGGACAAAUUACAGAUAAGUGAAUCAGUAAUGAAAUUUGUAAUGAGAAUUUCUCAAGUAUGAAAUGUUGGCGCAAGGAAAGUUAAUUGCGGGGUUUUACAGCCAUUAUAGUUUAUAUCAUAAAUGCAAAAAUGACUAGGGCCAUUUAAUUACAGUAGGAACACACUAAAUUUUUAUGGAGUGCCAUUUUGUUAAAGAGGUGCUCGGAGCAUUAAGAGCAAAUACCAUUCUAACAGUGGGUCCAGGUAGCUUUCACAACAUCAAAUAAAUAUGCUAUUGCUACAAAAUUGUUCCUUAGAUACUAUAAUUGACAUGAUGACUAAUGAGAUGGGUUUAUUCUCACAGCUUCACAUACUCAAUUUACAGUGUCGGAAAGUUAUUUUUUCUGCCAUCCGUAGACCUAGAAGGAACCAGAAAAAUCCCUCUUGGAAAACACUAUCUCUGCCGCUUCUCUAAUUAACCUUCAAAAAUGCAUUUUGAAAUAUAGAAGUUGGUGCCUGGCAUAGAAAUUGGAUUGUCUCAGGAAAAAAAGACCCAAGUGCUAAUUUGUUCCUUAUUAAAUAUCUGCCAUGUCAAAAUUACAGGCAGUUAAUGUUUUGGCGCCUUUCAGCAGGGCUAGGGACAGCUUUUCCUGAGGGCCAGGCACAGUGGGGUGGUUCUGGGUACCAUUUACCCCAGAAAACAGUGUUGUCCUCGUUGACUGCACCCAAGCUCAAGACUCCCUGUCACUCUCCCCUCAACCCCCAGUCCAGCCAGGUCCCUGCAGGGGUCAGAUCCCCUGGUCUCUAAGGGAAGGAGGGAAUAUAACAGGACAGACGGAGAAUCCUCAUUAAAAUCUGUCACUUUGGGGGAUGCGUCGCCCUCCUCACCUUCUCAUUCCAGGCUUCAGGAGCUUCCAGAAGACAAAAGAACAUUUCACGGGGAAAAAGAGCUAAAUUAACUCUGGACCCCUAAAAGUGAUUCAAAUUGUUUUGGAAACCUAGAAUGGUAGUACUCUCAUUAUUUUGAAAACCUAGGACAGUUUAAUCUCUCUCUAUUGUCCAGUAAAUUCCCAGGGAGGAUAUUCUUCUAGCCAGUAUUCCUUUUUCAAAAGCAAAUGAAAGAUAUAUGCGGUUUCCCAUGUUUAAUCAGUGGAACUGAAUUCAGGGACUGUUGGUUUGUUACACCUGCAUUCGAAACCCUGCUCCGCCGUGUAGUGACCAUGAUACUCUGAGCCCCUUUGUCCUCGUCUGAUAAGCAAGAAAGUAAUAAUAAUACUGAUUUUCCAGAGAUGCUGUAGGACUCUGAUAACUGAGUGAAGAAUGUGUAAAUAUAAAAGCGGGAUAUCACAGGUUCUUAGCAUUAUUCACAAUAGCCAAGGGACGGAAGCCACAAAGUGUCCACUGAUGGAUGAAUGGAUGAACAAAAUGUGGUGUCCAGACAGUGGCCUUAACAGGAAGGGAAUUCUGACACCUGCUGUGCCAUGGAUGAAUCCUGAGGCCCCUCUGUUGAGUGAAAUGAGCCAGCCACAAAAGGACAAGCGCUCUACGAUGCCCCUCGUGUGAAAGACCCAGUAGUCAAAAUGCAGGACCGACCCUCACAGGGGUGAACAACUGGCUGAGCAUAAAGCCUGGGACCAGGGGCAGGGGCUGGAAAAAGUUUGCUUUGUUCUCUUCCGAAUCCCAAAGCGGUAAGAUGAAAGCCAGAGGCCCGGAGGGCAGAAUCCCUCAGUGUCCAAGCUGAGUGUCCUCAUGGCCGAUGAAAUGUCCACAGAGCGUCCUCAGAGCCACACAUUUUCCUCUUCCCAUUUUGAAUCUGGGAAGAAUCCCCAGAUUUUUCAUUGCCCCUGAUUGUUUUUUAAUCAACGUUCCCCAAACUGUUUCCUCUGACUCUGCGAUUGACAGCCUCGCAUCGGGCUCAAGCCACCAGCUGGGCCCAGGCACAGAUGCUCUGAGUUUCUGUUGACUGAGUGGAAAUCACUGAACCUUUUGUGUGAACCUGCCUAAGGACCCAGACCAGACAGUGGAGUGGGGACCAGACGACUGUAAAUUCUCUGCAGGAUUAGCCCAUUUCUGAUGUUUUCACAGAGCCUGUGACUUGUUGCCACAAGUGCCUUUCACUAAAUCACUGCGUCCCAGGGCUGGGGGAAGAAUCGGCCCCAGGAUCCAGGGGGAGUUUUCCAAGGAGGAGAUCACACACACCAGCCUUUCUUCCCCCUUUGCUUCCCUUCCCUCCUUGCCGCCUCCCUGUUCUAGUAAAACAGCAUUAAAGCAUUAAGGGUCCCUAAUGGAGUCUUGGGUACCCUUGAAAAGGUUGAGGAGGGGAAGCCAGCAUCAGCACCCCAAAAUGAGUGAUGCCACCCAAAGGGCAUGCUGGAUGGUUGGUCCAAAGGGUUUAAUUUUCCACGACAUCAUUUUUGCCUGGCUUUUCUCUAGAGAUGCAGUGUGUCCCAUCCUUCUUGCGAAAUUUCUUUUCAUCACUGCACUGCCUUUCCUAUAAGGCCCGUGUCUUGAUAUCACAGAAAUGAUCUCCCACACGAACACUCUUCCUGCUUUGAAUCCCUGCUUUGGUGCCGUGAUGUCUCGUGUUGCCAUGGAUGGACACGUACGAGCUGGUGAGGAGGUGGGAAUGAACUCUCCACUUAGGUUUGUAGAAAGCCUUCUCAGUAUCGUCCUCAGGACCCCACAACCAGGGUGCUUCCUUCUGUACAGAUCCCAGGCUCUUGAAGAAAAUAUCCUGUCAACCCUGCUAGCAAGGUUCCCCACAACUACCUUGGAUCGCCUCAUUUCUCGUUCCCUUUGCCCAUCACGUGACUUCUUUUCCUUUAUAAUUUAGUGUGGGGAAUCAUCCCCCUGGAAGUGAGCAGAAGGCAGAAAACAAGGGUUGGGCUUGAUUUAAUGCUCUACUCUCGCCAUCUUGAAAUUAUGAAAAAUUUCCAAACAGCGGGCGCCACAGAUUAUGUAGCUGGUCCUGGAGACGGCAAACAUUUGCUGAUCACUUAGUACUUUCUAGGCUAGUGAUUCCCAAACUUGACGGCACAUCUGAAUCACUUGAUGGGGCCUUUAAAAUCUUGCUGCCCAGGCCACACCCCAGACUGAUGAAAUCGGAAUGUCUGGACAUCAGUAUUUUAUAAAGGCCCCCGGGUGUCGUGACUCCAUAUCCCAGCCACUCUUAAGAGAAGAGGUAUUCUUACUCACCUGGUGCAGGUGAGGAAAUGGAGGCCCAGUGAAGCUGAAUGGUGUACCCAAGCUCCCACCCUAUGCUGGGGGGUAUCCUUGAACUCAGUCUAAUCUGACUCUAAACCCCAGUUCUUUCCGUUCAACCACAUGACUUAAGCCUGCUCUGCUCUUGGUCAUUUGUAAGUUCUACUGGCUUCUGAAUAAAAGCCCUUUCUACUAUUAGGAAGUUCGUCCUAAACAUUUCCUCGCUUUGGGCCAGAAAAGGGGAGAAUUUUGCAUAACUGUUCACACACAUUCAGAACGCUAUGCAGGACGCGCAGGCAGACAUCCAGAAACAUCCCACGGCUAGCCAAGCCACGACCACCUGGAGUCAGUUCUGCUCUGAGGAGGAAACAUUUCUGACCAUUCCCCCGUUGAAGCCUGCCCCCUCCCUUGGGCAAGGGCACCUCCUUUCAGAGAAAGCCUUCAGGCCUCCGUGAGAACACAUUUGCCCUUCAUGGGGUUCAGCCUUUCACCCCAUCCCUCCUUGUCGGUACAUUCAAAGUCCCUGAAAUCUGCAGGGCAUCAGAGAACCGACUUUGUUCCUGUGCAAGCACUGCCUGAAUGUGCUUUCUUUCAUUUUUGCCUUUUUUCCUGCCUGAGGGAUUUUGUACAAGCUCUCAGAGUCUCCUUCCCUCUGAGUUCAUAUGCUCUGCACCCUCUUUUCUAUUUCUGGCCUGACCCUUCCCCACAGCUGGGCCCAGCCAGUCCAGGGAUGGCUGAAUGAGCAGGCAGGCUGGGGUGGCUCCUCGUGCCACAGACGGUGGCCUCAGAUGGAGCUGCCCUCUUCCUGCUAUCCAGCACCUGCACCUGGCCUCAGGAAGCAGAAAAGACGCGGGGAAACCUCCUCACCCACAGAGACCGGCUUUCCGGAAGGCACCAGCAGGCCCAUGAGACAACCUGGCACCCCCAUGUGUGGCUUGGAAGCUGCCUGCGCCCCUGUAGCCCGAGGGUGUGUUUCUAGGCGCUCAGCUGGGCUGUUUUCCCUCUUUUCCUCUCUGCUUUGGCCUGACAUGCUGAGCGGUUGGGUUGCUUCAGGCCUAAGUAAGCUUGUGCUUGUCUUUUGUACCCCUAAAUGGGCAUGGUGGACCCCGUGCCACCCUCAGACCCUGAAAAGAAGGACACUUGAGGGAGGCAGGGGGGCUUCAGAGGGCGUGAGGAUUUCAGGUGGAAGGAUCUGACAGCUGUGCAAAGGAAGUCAAUUGUUCAAAGCAGGCUUCCUCGGGGUUAAUUAGAGUAUUUGGGAAAAGAAUCUAAAUUAAACAGGUGCUCGGGGCUUAUUUGCCUUCCCUACAGUAAUUGGCUUUUAUGCGGGAUAGAAAGCUUUACCAUCUAACAAAGAUGUAGCCCAGAAAAGUCUUUGCCCAGACAGCUAGUUUUCAGAGGUGAGGGACAUUUGGCCGGGCGGGGAUCAUCAGCAGGGUAUGGGUGCCAGGAGGACAAGGCUCUUCCCCACCCCCUGGGCUCCAGCCCUUGACUGGCUCUUCCUGACCAGUCUAAAGCAAACAAGUCUUUUUUAUGGAGCAGACCUUCACGAGCCAGCUUUCUUCCUCCCCGUCUGUGGACAGGACCCUAGUAUGUGGGAUGGUGACGCUGGCCUUGGUGGAGCAGCAACUCCCACUUGGGAGCCACGAAGAGCACAUCAGUACAUCCCAUCACAAUUUAACGAAAAUGCGCUCAUUUCAGUGUCUCUGAAAGAUUGUACAAGGCCGGGCGAAUAGAAUCAAUGAGCACAGUGGUGUCACAUUCAAAGGAGCCUGACACGUUCUCUGGCGACGUCCCCAUUGGGGACAAGCGAGUGGACGAUGGUCUGGGGUGUUAAUAUUCCCGUAGGUCGCUUUCAUAGUCAGAAUCAGCCAUCUUGCAUCCUUCGCAGACACGCUGGUGUCUUAUUAGAAAUGCAGUGGAUAGAAUUUAAUGCAAUUGAAAAGAAACCCAGCAGACUCUAAUCUAAAGAAUGUCAUUUCAGGAAAAUAGCAGCGACUUACAAUUUACUGCCCCUAAAUUGGAAAAUCACUUUUAGAACAUCGUAAACUUUUAAUUGCAUGCAGCAUGGAAACAGACUUAAAACAGAAAGGCGGGGAAAGAGGAGCUCACGUGUACGGAACACCUUCCAUUGAAGGCCAGUCAGUCACAGCGUUUCAUUCCAUCUGAACAGCAGCCACAUGACACUAGAGUGACUUUCUCCGAGUUAGAAAUGACGAAAUGGAGGCCCAGCAAAGAAACGUGUCUUGCCCAAGGUCACGGGGUAGAAAGUUGCAGAGUUUGGAUUUGAAAUCAGGCCCGUUUGGCCCCAACGCCUAAGUAUCUUUGAAUCUCCCGUAAAACGUAUGCACGGAAAUGCUUUCUUUCUUCCGCAGAUCGACUCCAACAACCGUCACGUAGGGGUUCCAGAAAUCGGCGGCCUGAUUCUGCUUCUCUGUGCUUUUGAUCUACUUGUGGCACGUGAGACAUUGUGCGCAACGCCAUGAGAGACAGGGCAAAGAAGGCAUGGGAAGGUUCCGCUGACUUCUUUCUAAAUUGCAUUCGGGAAGACGUCACCUUUGUCAGCUCUUCUUGCAAUAUAUUUAGAAAGUGGGUUCGAAUACGUCCGGGUGUUCUCCCCGAAGGCACACACCCCUGCUCUGUGAAGUCCAGAACUGAGAAGGUUCCAGAAAGUGUGGUCCAAAGCAGGCAACCAGUCAGGCUGAGGAAACCACGAAAGCCCUCUCCUUAGACAGGAGGGUAACCAGAGCUGUACUCGGACUCCACAGUUUAUUUUUCCCAUGCGGACAAGGGACGAAAGCCACUUUGCAGAACAAUGCUUCCGAGGCAUUUUAUUUGCAACACGAUCCUUUGCAAGAGGUGAGCUAAGAAGCAGGGUCAGCUCACACAGGGACUUCUCUCCCCUUGGCUGGCCCACCUAGCAGCAUCAGGCCGCAUCUCCAGGAGGGAGCGGGGGAAGCCCCCAGUCCUUCAUGGGCACAGUAGGUUCCGCCUUAUUCUGGUACAAAGAUGCGUGUUUGCCGCAGGUAACCUCACACCACCCGGCACACGGCCGCUGAGUUGCACGGCGACGUAUGAACCCAAGUGACGCCUUAAUGUAUCAUGUUAAAUCACAUCCCACAGCUUCUUGGAUCCGAGAGAAAGUGACUGGGCCAGAGGGAGCUGCCACAUCUCUUUCUUCCAUUCUCUUUUACCUUCUAAUUAAUUUUUCUAAUGGGUCCUUGAUGUAAUAAACCAUUUAUCAUGUGCACCUUCUUCUGAGGCUUUUCUCCUUCCAAGUUAUUAACAUGUCCAGGGCUUUCCUAGGGAAAGUGUCUAGGCCUUGGCUGCCUGCUGUCCCCAGGAGAAUGCCAGGUACGUGUCAUGGCUAUCCGUACCGUGUGCACAGAUAGCGCUCCGUGCCAGGCCACCGUUGAUUCAGUGAUUGUACUUUUUAUCCGGCAAUGGCCCUGAAUGGAGACAGAGCCAGGAAACAGAGCUUCAUCUCGUGAGGCUCUGUGGAGAGAGCCAGCUCUAGAAGUCGCUGGCCCAGCUGACGCACAGCUGAGAGCCUUAGCAGGAGCACCAGGGCCUGAAUGGGGAGGGGACGAGUCUAUUAAGGGAGGCAGCUGCCAGAGGAGACGGAAUCACAGAGGGGUGUCCUCCUGAGAGCCAAUGAGGGCCUGGAAAUGAUCCUAUGACUUCAACUUACUCUGAUCUGAUCUUCUUCCAUAAAAACUGCUUGGAAAAAGCCCAAUUGUCAUACAACGCGCUCCUUUUCACACCUAACACUGCUAGUGUCUACACCUAUUGAGCAUUUACUGCAAGUGAACGACUAUAUAUACACCAUCUCAUCCGAUCCUCACCAGUGCAAAGGGGUGGGCAAUAGCCUGUGUGACAGAGAAGAGAGAGAUUUGCCUAGGCCACAAAACGAAGGUAGGAAACUUGAGACUUGAGCCUGGGUCUCCCUGUCCCCAAGCUAACUGAUCCUCAUGCUAGACACACGCCUGCAGUUACGCCCUUGGGGCUUUGGCCUUUGUGAUAAAAUUCUAAGCGGAGUCUCAGGCAAAGAAAACAUCCAGCCCCCACUGUAUUUGCUGCCUAACCUCGAAAGGUGCCGGCCAUUAAAGCUAGAUUGAACCC